AGCAGCCGCGGUAAUUCCAGCUCCAAUAGCGUAUAUUAAAGUUGUUGCAGUUAAAAAGCUCGUAGUUGAAUUUCGGGGUUAGUAGGUUGGUCGUGCCUCAGGUAUGCACUGAUCUCACUGAUUCCUCCUUCCUGACGAACCGUAAUGCCAUUAAUUUGGUGUUGCGGGGAGACUGGACUGUUACUUUGAAAAAAUUAGAGUGUUUAAAGCAGGCUAACGCUUGAAUACAUUAGCAUGGAAUAAUGAAAUAGGACGUUCGAUCCUAUUUUGUUGGUUUCUAGGAUUGACGUAAUGAUUAAUAGGGAUAGUUGGGGGCAUUAGUAUUCAAUUGUCAGAGGUGAAAUUCUUGGAUUUAUUGAAGACUAACUACCGCGAAAGCAUUUGCCAAGGAUGUUUUCAUUAAUCAAGAACGAAGUUAGGGGAUCGAAGACGAUCAGAUACCGUCGUAGUCUUAACCAUAAACUAUGCCGACUAGGGAUCGGGAUGAUGGUUAAUUUUUAAUGACUCAUUCGGCGCCUUA
rnacentral:rRNA from 1 species